rnacentral:rRNA from 1 species
AUUGAACGCUGGCGGCAUGCCUUACACAUGCAAGUCGAACGGUAACAGGUUAAGCUGACGAGUGGCGAACGGGUGAGUAAUGUAUCGGAACGUGCCCAGUCGUGGGGGAUAACUGCUCGAAAGAGCAGCUAAUACCGCAUACGACCUGAGGGUGAAAGCGGGUGAUCGCAAGACCUCGCGCGAUUGGAGCGGCCGAUAUCAGAUUAGGUAGUUGGUGAGGUAAAGGCUCACCAAGCCGACGAUCUGUAGCUGGUCUGAGAGGACGACCAGCCACACUGGGACUGAGACACGGCCCAGACUCCUACGGGAGGCCGCAGUGGGGAAUUUUGGACAAUGGGCGCAAGCCUGAUCCAGCCAUGCCGCGUGCGGGAAGAAGGCCUUCGGGUUGUAAACCGCUUUUGUCAGGGAAGAAAAGGUUCUGGCUAAUACCUGGGACUCAUGACGGUACCUGAAGAAUAAGCACCGGCUAACUACGUG